UGGGGAAUUUUGGACAAUGGGCGCAAGCCUGAUCCAGCAAUGCCGCGUGCAGGAUGAAGGCCUUCGGGUUGUAAACUGCUUUUGUACGGAACGAAAAAGCUCUCUCUAAUACAGGGGGUGAAUGACGGUACCGUAAGAAUAAGCACCGGCUAACUACGUGCCAGCAGCCGCGGUAAUACGUAGGGUGCAAGCGUUAAUCGGAAUUACUGGGCGUAAAGCGUGCGCAGGCGGUUUUGUAAGACAGAGGUGAAAUCCCCGGGCUCAACCUGGGAACUGCCUUUGUGACGGCAAAGCUAGAGUGCGGCAGAGGGGGAUGGAAUUCCGCGUGUAGCAGUGAAAUGCGUAGAUAUGCGGAGGAACACCGAUGGCGAAGGCAAUCCCCUGGGCCUGCACUGACGCUCAUGCACGAAAGCGUGGGGAGCAAACA
rnacentral:rRNA from 1 species